rnacentral:rRNA from 1 species
UGUGGCCAAGUUGUUAAGGGCACACGGUGGAUGCCUGGGCACCAGGAGCCGAUGAAGGACGUAGGAGGCUGCGAUAAGCCUCGGGGAGCUGUCAACCGAGCGUUGAUCCGAGGAUUUCCGAAUGGGGGAACCCCGCACCAGUCAUGUGGUGUGACCCGCGCCUGAACACAUAGGGCGUGUGGAGGGAACGUGGGGAAGUGAAACAUCUCAGUACCCACAGGAAGAGAAAACAACCGUGAUUCCGUGAGUAGUGGCGAGCGAAAGCGGAUGAGGCUAAACCGAUCGCAUGUGAUAGCCGGCAGGCGUUGUGUGGUCGGGGUCGUGGGACAGUUCAGUCACUUCUGCCGAGGUGGCAGGGAGUCAUAAAAGACUUGUGUUAGUGGAAGGCCUCUGGAAGGGGUCGCCGUAGAGGGUGAGAGCCCCGUACACGAAAACUCAGUCUCUCCCGAGCUUGUUUCCCAAGUAGCACCGAGCCCGUGAAAUUCGGUGUGAAUCUGGCGGGACCACCCGCUAAGCCUAAAUACUUCCUGGUGACCGAUAGCGGAC